AAUAGAUACCCAGGUAGUCCACGCCGUAAACGAUGGAUACUAGCUGUUUGGGCGUAAGCUUGAGUGGCUAAGCGAAAGUGAUAAGUAUCCCACCUGGGGAGUACGGGCGCAAGCCUGAAACUCAAAGGAAUUGACGGGGGCCCGCACAAGCGGUGGAGCAUGUGGUUUAAUUCGAUGAUACGCGAGGAACUUUACCAGGGCUUAAAUGUGUUUUGACCGCUUAGGAAACUAGGCUUUCGCAAGACAAAAUACAAGGUGCUGCAUGGUUGUCGUCAGCUCGUGCCGUGAGGUGUCAGGUUAAGUCCUAUAACGAGCGCAACCCCUGUUGUUAGUUGCCAGCGAGUCAUGUCGGGAACUCUAACAAGACUGCCAGUGUAAACUGUGAGGAAGGUGGGGAUGACGUCAAAUCAUCACGGCCCUUACGUCCUGGGCCACACACGUGCUACAAUGGACGGUACAGAGAGCAGCUACCUAGUGAUAGGAUGCGAAUCUAUAAAACCGUUCUCAGUUCGGAUCGGAGUCUGCAACUCG
rnacentral:rRNA from 1 species